AAAUUAGCAAUUUGUAUCAUUUUGAUAUCGUUAGCUGAGACGCUAGUUGAUGUCGUCAUCACGCAGCAGGCACGUAAUGAUAAAAUCGUCAACAUCCGAUUCAGGAGCGGGCAUGGCUUUUUGCAAUGUUACCCUUAUGAAGUGUUCCACUACUCAUCUGAAAUUGGGGAUUUGGACAAAACAUUUUUCAAAGGGUGGUAUCAUUUAUUUAAAUUUUUUCCCGUGAAGGACCGUCCGCUUGUCAGAGGAGAAACAGACCUACUUGACUCUGAUAUUAUCAAUGAAGCAGGCAGUGAUGGUGUGAUAUUGUUCAGGAUCUACCUGCCACCAGACUUUCCCCAUGUCCCGCAGCCACUAACCAUGGAGUUCUUUGGUCUCUUCAAGGCUGAGUUUUUCAGGGAUGCUUGUGACAUCCCCCCUCCUUAUAGGGACUUUGUCCUUAGGCACAUAGUUGCCACAGUGUUGAAGCAGAAAUAGGAUGCUUUUGAAACUGAGAGGACUGUGAAGGAUGGGUUCGGGAAGACAGGUAUCUUUCUAUUUGACUACCAUGUCAUGGCUAGGUCCGUAUGGUGUGGGAGGGAAAAGAUGAGGCCCGAGUUCGGUUCUGCUGGACCCUGUGAUGAUGGGCCAAAGAAAAAAUGACCCGAACUUGUGACAGACAAGGGUGACAGACAGUUCUUAUGACAAUAAGAAGGCAUUAAAGGCAAGUUCUCUAUAAUAAUUACUUUGAGUCUCGGAAUAUCCUGUGAUUAAUUUACACAAAAUUAAUAUAACGUCAUGUCACCAUUGUAUUGGUACAUGUUGAUCUUGUGAUUUACAGGUGGAAUCUGACGCCAAACCGGUGUUGCCUGGGUCGUUUCUGCCAGUUUCUCUGCCAUCAGAGUCUGUUAAGAAAGGAGAUAUUAGGUGUGGUGGUUAAAAAAUAGGAGGAAAUUAAGGAGGAGUUGAAUGUUGUCAGACAUAUCUGCAAUAGAUCCAAAUAUUUUGAACAAUGCCAAUAAUCAACAUUAGACGAUAAUUAUAUCAAGGAAAAACUGUCAUGCUCCACUUUUCAUACUGUAUACCCACCCUGAUCACAAGAGCCAGCUAUAGUUCAAUUGAAGUGCGUUUGGCAUUUCUAUUAUGUUAGCAGUUUGUAAUUAGAAGUUUUACUUUGAAGCCUUCAUCAUUUUUCUGUUCUGAUGACUUCAUUGCAGUAUUUUCCAAGAGAUCACAGCCAUGACUCCAUUGAGAGAUGGGAUGAGACUUCGGGCCCUGACGAUAUAUCGGAAGCGUCCCAGGAGUUAACAGAGGAAUCUUCAGACUUAUCAGACGGCCCUGAUGAAUCAAACAGAUUUAGAAUACGUUGACGAAGAAGAAGAGUUACCUGAAACUUCACAAGCUGUGAGAGGAAAAGCAUCUUCAAAGUCACUGCUGCCAGAGAAACAGUCACCUCAUGGUGAAACAUUUUUAAUUGCACUAUUGGGCCCAAUCUAAGUGUCUAACCACAGAAACACAGACUUGGUGGAUGAGUCUGGUGACAGCUCUGACGACGAGCCAUUGGUUAAGAUGAUCAGGAAGCUUCCAACAAACUGCCAGCUGAGCGAGAGAGUGAAGGCACUGCUGAAAUACACAGACAUGGCGGAUGUGACAAUGAAGCAAAUCUACAAUAGAGUGUUUGAGAGGUGCCCCCGGUAUGACCUGUCUAACAAGAAGGACAUCAUCAAGCAGACAGUGAAAGAGGGGAUUUCUUUACAACCCAGGGUUUUAAUCAAGCCAUAUUCAUAGCUUUGACAGAUAACAUUAUAAUCCAUGAUCUCAGGAGAACAUAGUUGAUAUCGUGACAGACUCGGGGAUUCCUGUAUAUGCCUUUCCAGGAUGUUUCAUUUAUAUUUUAUACAUACAUAUUCAGACUGUUUAAAUACUAUACAAUUUCAUACAACUUAUUUGUUUUACUUACCUAAGUUUUGUAAAUAAAGUAUUUAUUGUACUGUA